rnacentral:rRNA from 1 species
AUGGCAGCGCCGGGCUCCCUAGGACUUCUCCAGGCGCCGUCCUUCUCCGCGGCCAAGUGCCGUCCGGUGGCGGCGAGCCGGGGAGCGGCACGAGCCGUGUUCGCCGUCCGCGCUUCGGCGGCUUCUGCGGCCACCAAGGACGCCGUCCUCAUGCCCUUCCGUGAGAACAGGGCUCUCAAGAUCAUUUCGGGGCUUCAGAACUUCGACAGGUCCAAUGUUGCGUCUGUCGUCACGGCUGCGGAUAAGGGAGGUGCUACCCAUGUUGAUAUAGCAUGUGACCAGGACUUGGUAAAGCUGGCGCUUGAGCUUACUAACCUCCCGAUAUGUGUAUCGUCUGUGGAUCCUUCAGCAUUCCAAUCUGCGGUAGAAGCUGGUGCUCAAAUGAUUGAGAUUGGAAACUACGACUCCUUUUACGAUGCAGGCAUUGAAUUCUCAUCUGAGCAAAUACUGAACCUGACAAGGGAGACAAGGAAGAUACUUCCAGACAUCACAUUGUCAGUAACAGUUCCCCACACUCUGAGCCUUCCGGAUCAGAUGAGACUUGCAGAGCUACUUGAAGAGGAAGGCGCUGAUAUCAUCCAGACUGAAGGCGGGAAGUGUUCUAGUCCAACAAAGCCUGGUGUUCUUGGACUAAUAGAAAAGGCAACACCAACAUUGGCAGCUGCAUACUCCAUCUCUAGGGCCGUCAGCAUACCGGUGAUGUGCGCAUCGGGGCUAAGUUCAGUGACUGCACCAAUGGCAGUAACCGCAGGAGCUGCUGGCGUGGGAGUUGGCUCUGCGAUUAACAAGCUCAAUGAUGUCGUGGCAAUGAUUGCCGAGGUGAGGAGCAUUGCGGAGGCUCUGGGGACGAAGGCUUCGAGGAAUGUGUCCGAGGACCCGAGAAGAGUUCACAAUUAG